UACGUAGGGGGCUAGCGUUGUCCGGAAUCAUUGGGCGUAAAGCGUGCGUAGGCGGCCAGAUAAGUCCGGUGUGAAAGUCACAGGCUCAACCUGUGAAUGCCGCUGGAAACUGUCUGGCUAGAGUCCGGAAGGGGCGAGUGGAAUUCCUGGUGUAGCGGUGAAAUGCGCAGAUAUCAGGAGGAACACCAAUGGCGAAGGCAGCUCGCUGGAACGGUACUGACGCUGAGGCGCGAAAGCGUGGGGAGCGAACAGG
rnacentral:rRNA from 1 species